GACGAACGCUGGCGGCGCGCUUAACACAUGCAAGUCGAGCGAAGCGGCGGACGGGUGAGUAACACGUGAGUAACCUGCCUUAGACAUUGGGAUAGCCUCGGGAAACCGGGAUUAAUACCAAAUGGUCUAAGAUGGACUCGCGUCCCAUUAGCUAGUUGGUGGGUAACGGCCCACCAAGGCGACGAUGGGUAGCCGGCCUGGGAGGGUGAACGGACACAUUGGAACUGGGAAACGUUCGGGACUCUACGGGAGGGAGCAGUGGGGGAUAGUGCAAAAUUGAGGGAACGCUGAUGCAGCGACGCCGGGUGAACGAAGAAGGCUUUCGAGUCGUAAAGUUCUUUUAUAUGUGAAGCGGUACCAGAAGAAAAAGCCCCGGCUAACUCCGUGCCAGCCGCCGCGGUAAUAC
rnacentral:rRNA from 1 species